rnacentral:rRNA from 1 species
UACAGAGGUCUCAAGCGUUGUUCGGAUUCAUUGGGCGUAAAGGGUGCGUAGGCGGCGCGGUAAGUCGGGUGUGAAAUCUCGAGGCUUAACCUCGAAACUGCAUUCGAUACUGCGGUGCUUGAGGACUGGAGAGGAGACUGGAAUUCAUGGUGUAGCAGUGAAAUGCGUAGAUAUCAUGAGGAAGACCAGUGGCGAAGGCGGGUCUCUGGACAGUUCCUGACACUGAGACACGAAGGCCAGGGGAGCAAACGGG